rnacentral:ncRNA from 1 species
UCUGAAACAAGGCAAACCCGUCGAAAGGCGGGGACGCAAAGUCACCGGCCUAACGGGCGCAUGCCCCACGGUAGCGGGACCACCAGG